CGGCGGGCUAGCCCGGGUAACUCGGCGUUAUCUGUAACCCGAAACCGUCGAUAGCGGGGGGCGAAGCCAAGGGAAGAAGUUUUAACUGUUGCCCAGCCCACAGGUUCUACUGUGAAACCCCGUCCUAUGGGGAUGGCGUUGGUACAGAGGCUUUUCUGAAGUAAGGUUUCUGUACCUUAAUCGCGGAUAACGAUCUAGGCCCGGAAGGGAGCAAAUCAGCCGUGAACAACUAUCGCUCAUGGGGUCGCGGGGUGGAGGCGAGUCUGUGGUCAACUGGACAGCGGAAGGAGCUACGACCCGAGGUGUGCCCGCUA
rfam:Candidatus Methanoperedens nitroreducens strain ANME-2d ANME2D_Contig_5.5, whole genome shotgun sequence.